ACGGGUGAGUAACGCGUGGGAAUCUACCCAUCUCUACGGAAUAACGCAUGGAAACGUGUGCUAAUACCGUAUACGUCCUUCGGGAGAAAGAUUUAUCGGAGAUGGAUGAGCCCGCGUUGGAUUAGCUAGUUGGUGGGGUAAAGGCCUAUCAAGGCGACGAUCCAUAGCUGGUCUGAGAGGAUGAUCAGCCACACUGGGACUGAGACACGGCCCAGACUCCUACGGGAGGCAGCAGUGGGGAAUAUUGGACAAUGGGCGCAAGCCUGAUCCAGCCAUGCCGCGUGAGUGAUGAAGGCCCUAGGGUUGUAAAGCUCUUCCACCGGUGAAGAUAAUGACGGUAACCGGAGAAGAAGCCCCGGCUAACUUCGUGCCAGCAGCCGCGGUAAUACGAAGGGGGCUAGCGUUGUUCGGAUUUACUGGGCGUAAAGCGCACGUAGGCGGACUAUUAAGUCAGGGGUGAAAUCCCGGGGCUCAACCCCGGAACUGCCUUUGAUACUGGUAGUCUUGAGUUCGAGAGAGGUGAGUGGAAUUCCGAGUGUAGAGGUGAAAUUCGUAGA
rnacentral:rRNA from 1 species